rnacentral:rRNA from 1 species
UACGCUCUGAGGAGGAAAGGGGGGGAUCGAAAGACCUCUCGCUCAAGGGGCGGUCGAUGGCAGAUUAGCUAGUUGGUGGGGUAAAGGCCUACCAAGGCGACGAUCUGUAGCUGGUCUGAGAGGACGACCAGCCACACUGGGA